GCGUCAUUAGCUCAGUUGGUAGAGCACCUGACUCUUAAUCAGGGUGUCCGGGGUUCAAGCCCCCGAUGUCGCACCA
rnacentral:tRNA from 3 species